UUUAGUUGGGGCAACUUUUAUAAAUACAACCUGUAAAUAAAUUUAAACACUUUCUGUGGUUUUAAGAUCCUAUUAGUAGAAAAAAUUAAAAUACUUUAGGGAUAACAGCGUAAUAGUCUUUAAGAGUUCUUAUCAAUAAGACUGUCUACGACCUCGAUGUUGAAUUAAGUUACUUUUUUGGUGUAGAGGUUAAAAAGG
rnacentral:rRNA from 1 species